CUCAGGAAAGCUCCAUCUACCACUUAACUCUUCUUCCUUCUCGCCUGUCUUCUCACUUGUACUUCUCUCCCUCUCCCAGGCAGUUCACUCCUUUUUAAAAACCCUAUUUAUUUUGUCUGAAUGGGACUGCGGAAGGUGGGUGAAUGGGAGAGGUGUUGAAUCAGAGUCCCCAGCUAAUAUGAGAACAAUAAAGGCAGGUGUGACUUUAGGAACACGGGGACUGGAAAAAUCUCAGUUGGUUUGUAAGUCAGCAGGGACUGGGAAUACAGGAAAACUCUCUUUUCACUGGUUAGAAAUCCUUGCAGUAUAAUUACAAAACACACUGAUGUAGGAAAAAAACACUGAAAUGUAAACUGCAUAGUACAGCUGUGGCACUGUGGCAGAAAUCAUGGCAGAACUUUUGUUACGAUGGGAAAGCAAAAAUCACAGGCAUGUUUCACUGAAGACCUUGUGUUGUUGCUGUCAAUUUCUGUCCAAGCAACCAGGACCGUAAUAUCUACAGACUUGUUUAACACAGUGGGUGGUAAGCUGGAUAGGUAACUAUAGAGAGGGUCUGACUAUAGUUCUGUCUACCAUCCAGCCCUGUUAAUCUCCAGCAGUUGUCAGGAUAGGAUGUUCAGGAAAAAACAAAGCAGGGUGUGGAUAGAGCAAUCCCUCUGUAGCAACAGCCUCCCACUUCAGUGAUGAGCAGUUUAGGAACUUUGUGAGCUGGAGGCUGCUGCCAGGCUUUGAUAUCUGAUAGGCACUGACAGAUUUACCCUUCUUGAAUUUGUCUAAUCACUUUCUGAACCGAUGUGAACUUUUGAACUCCACCACAGCAGCGAGUCUCACUGUUUUAAUAUAGAAAAUAGGCUGUGGAGGUAUGGUGUGUGUGGGGAAAACUGACUUCAUUUUGUUUGUUUUGUAUCUGUCAAUGGAUAAUUUUAUUAGCUAACUUGUGUUGCAGGGGAUAGUGAAUAAGCAUUUCCCACUCACUCUCUCCACAACAUCUGUGAUAUCGAAUCUAUCACCCCAGUCAUCUCUCUUUUAAAAUAAACAAACAAGCAAAAAUAGAGGCUGUUUGAUUCUCCAUGGAGAGAGCUGCUCCUCACAUAUUAUCACCCCAGUUGCUCUACUUAGUGCAUCCCCGAGUCCAGCAAUUCCACUGAGGAGCAGCAGCAUCACAACCGCAAGCAGAGCUCCAGAUGGCAGCUAUAUGAGGAUCUAUGAAAUGAAAGGUCAAUCUGAAAAGGAACAAACAGCGAGAACAGAGCAAAAGACUGUAGCUGGGAAACAGCCAGAGAUGUGUGGUGUCAGAAUUUGUGUGAUGGUCAAACAACAGCCUUCAAAGGAGUAGCCUAGCAGUACUGUGAGGCAGGUUUGUUAACAGUGUCAGGAGCUGAGCGUGCUGUGAUGCCUGGGGUACUGCUCAAGGCUAGAGGUGGCAGGGAAGAGGAAAUGUGAAACUCGCAAAUAUCUUUCUGUCCUAUUUGGCUGAUAAAGGUACCUGUCUACUUUCUAUCAUUUGCUGCCUUUCAGAAGACUUGCAUGUUACUGUUUCUCAGCCAGCAGCCCAGUCAGCAGGUAUUUCAGAAUAACAGAAAUUAUUUCAGCUAACUGGAGAAAUACAUACUUCUAUGCACCAGGUAACUUCAAAGACAAUUCUGUCAAUAGGGACAGCGUAUUUCCAGCGAGUCUGAGACAUUUAAAAGUAGUAGGGCUGCAGAGUUCAUUCCAACUGGAAGCUCAGGAAGCACAACAUAAGUAGCACGUUGCCAGCUCGUCAGCUGAAGCAUGGUGAUGUGCCUGUGCUUGUGGAAUGGCUGAUAUUUUCAUAGCAGAAAUGACUGACAGAGCAACGCUGUCCACAGCUCCAGGCUGCACUGCUACAGGAUGAGUUUCGAUGGCUUGAACUACUGCUGAAAUCCCUUUCUCUGUUCUAUCAAGAAAGACACUGAUCUGAAUUUAGCUAACAGUUUUUAGGCCACACUUAUACUGCACUCAGAGAGGAUCGAUUGAUUUAUUUAUAGCAGUAGUUCAAAAUUUUUGGAGUUGGAAAUUUCCUUGUCUUUCUCGUAACAAAUCAACAUCAAUACAAAUGCUAAGAGAACAUCAUCAAAAGAAAAGAAAAAAAGAAAAAAGAAAAAACUUGAAGCUAGACUCUUAGAUAGAUUUUACUUUCCAAUUGUAUGUUAUAAAUGUCCAAAACAGGUUGGAGAGAACUCCUCUACGCCUAGGUAAGUAAUAGGUGAAUUACACAGUAGUAGAUAUAUUUAAGGUUUUAAGACUAUCUGCUCUGGAACAUCCCUAACUACAGUGAAAUGCACAGAUAAUUACUUUCACAGUUUAGGGUGAGAAAUAAAAGAAAGGAAAAACUUCCUUCCAGCUAAAAUUGGUAAGGGGCAUAGUCAGAUAAACAAAAUAAGAACUUAACAGCACUCUUGGCCAGGACACCAGGCCUACUGAUUAUGCAGCUGUGAACAUGCAAAGCCAGAGCUUCAGAAAGUGAUUUUUAAAACCACAGACCAAAGGUAACAGGCUCCAAAGUGCUAGCCCCUACACGCUCUAUACAGGACAGUUAUUUAGGGCAAACCCAGGUGCAUAACUGUGAAGGACGCAUACCUUGAACUUUCUUCCAGUACUGUUCUCAUAUCCCCCUCUGUUUUUGCCCUCAGAGAGAUUUAUAUUCCUUCAGCUUAAGUGGCACUUGAGUGUAGAGUGGAGGAGCUGGUAGCUGAUAUGGCCAUGAACAAGACAGGUGGUGACUUUAGAAGGAGGCUCGCUCUCCACUGUCCAUGGGCUUGGGGCAGGAGAAUUAGGCUAAUCUUGUACAACCUCUACUCCUUUCAUUUCUUACACAGAUUCAUUCACCUUUUAUCUUGCAUGAAAUGCAGGGGAUGCUCUUGGAAUACCAGGGCAGCCAUUGAACAGUAUCAAAGAACCAAGAGGCAUACCCUGCAAUACCAACCAGCUUUGACAAUGGGGAGAAGGGACUACUCCACAUCUAUAAAUAUUUAGGAUUAUUCAUCAAUUCUUUUCAUUUUGCAGGUCCUUUUCUUCUGCGUUCUCAUAGCUUAAUGCCUCCACUGGACUGCUUCCGAAGGAGCAGUCUUUCUGCAGGUGCAGUGUUGUAACAGCUGUGAAACAUUAGUCACCGUUUUAUCAGUGUUAAAACGUUCAAGACAAUGCUUCUAAGAGCACUAUCACUCAACAUACUAUCUAGUAAUUCUAUUGCAACAAGUCAGAAGAUUGAAUAAAACCUUCCAUUCAUGUUGCUCAUCUUGUUCUGUACCCGUGACUGGAGAUCAGCAAGUCUGAGUAAACCCCUUCCAGCUGUAAGCUCUGUGUGUUUAUACUGCAACAGUUCAGUAAAUCCAUUCAGCUUCCAGUAAGAAAUGUCUUUGUUUAUGGCUCUUUUACGAUACUCCCAAUCACCGUCAAAGGAUUCUACAGAAAUAUUUUUAAAAGAUUCAGUUCUGACUUAAUCAAUGCCAUUGUAGAUCAGGAAUAACUCCAUUAAGCUGAUAUGAUGUAAAAUCUAGUUUAUAUUUGCAUGCAGCAGUGAUGUGAGCCUUCUGAAAACUUAGGAGUUCAGAUACACUUAUGGCAAGUCCUGUGUAUGAUAAUUUACUUAAUGAACAUACUGAUGCCCAUGUUAUCUCAACUAAAUUGAGUAGUUGAGACUAAACUCUGAACCCCCUGAAAUCUUGACAAGUAUUGCCAUAGAUAUAGCUGACUCAGGAUUUCACAGAAUACAUAUUUAUUAGGGACUGCUGUUAAGAGAAUUCUCCCGUGUUUUAAAUCACUCUGCGGUGGUGAAUAAUUAAUACUCAGAAAAAGUUCAAUAUUUCUUUCUGCAAGUAGGCCAAGCCAGCAGCCUACUGGAUUUGAAGAUGCAGCUCAAAUAUGCAUAAUCUCCUAUUUCAACAGUAUCGCCUGCACUUGCAGCAGAGCACUGCACACUCACUCUCCCUUCCUUGCCUCCGUAGUUUCUUUACUGUGGAAAAGAGUUUACACCUAACAAUGACAUUAAAACAGGAGUUAGUUACUGUACGUGUUCGCACGCCAGAAGCAGCUGCUGUCAGUAUGAAAGGGGAAAGGAAGUGAGGAGAUCCUGCACUGCUCUGGAAAAUACAGGUGCUGAGAGGAAACUUUUAUCCAGAAGAGUUUGUCAAAGAUAAGGGCAUAGGAAAGGAGAAAAGCGAUGAAGAACACUUCAGAGAUAAAAACAUUAGCUCCAGCCCAAUCUCCAGUAAAUAAAUUUACAUCUCUAACUGCUGCUUAUGACUAUCCAGAGAGAGGUACCAUGUGAAUGGGAGGAGAGCAGAGCUAACCUCACCUCUGUGACUGUGAGCAGAGGUCCAGGAACAAGUCUGGUUUCCUAGACAGAAAGGCCCUUUGCAACGUGGUGAACUGCCCUCACAAUGCUACUAACAGUGGCAUUUACUCUUCAUGUGGAUCUCAACUCUACCAGCAGCCUAUAACACCACAGCAAGUGACCUCCAAGGGGUCUACUGAGCCUCAUUGAGCAAUGAAAACAUGAUGACCUUGAUCAAAUAUCUCAGCUGUGGUGAACAUCAAAUAACAGAAAUUGCAAAGGUUGACAAUUAUUUGAGGGACAAAAAGUCUGGAGAUUUUGUAUCAGUAGAAUUCUAACGGCUUCAACAGAAUGCUCUUGAUUUAAGUUGGAAUAAUUGAAAAAUUAAUCACAUCUACAUAUCACCAGAAGAAAGGAGAAAUAAACCAUCUUGGAAUUUGUAGUUCACUAUAAUCUGAAGUAGAGAAGUCCUUGGAGAAAUCCAGUCUAAAACAAUGCCAAACCUCAGCACCGUAUUAGGAAACAAAUAUCUUUACGCUACAGACCAGUUGUUAUUCCAGAGUUGCUUCCUGGCUGAAGCACAACAUGCUUUGUUACUCCAUGCUCACCUGUGUGUAUACAACAGGUUUGGCUACAGAUGAAUGCAUAUAAAGAGUUGGAAGAGAUCACGUUCAGUGCUUUGUCCUUCGUUCUGGUGAGGUGCACUUCUGUUUCCCUACUGAGAGCUCCUAGGCACAUGGAAGCUGUAAGGCCAACCACCUAACCAUAGGAGGGAUGGGAUCGCUGGCAAACAACACAUCCUGCUUCACCUCAAGCACCCUCCACUCUCCAGAAGGUACUUUCCUGCACAUGGCUGAGGAGCUGCUGGAAGACUGAAGGGGCACUCUCUUCAGCUGUGGGGCUGCCCCACCCCCAGUGCUGCUCUUCUGGCACCCAGCUCCUCCCAUGCUCCUUGUGCAGCUGGUGGCCCAGGAAGGAGCCAGCAUUGCCUCAAAUGGAACAGAGAGCAUCAGGCUGUUUUCUCUUUAAAAGAAGAACAAAAAAAAAAAAACAAAAAAAAAACCAAAAACUAGGCUUUCCCCUUUGUUUCUGCCUUCCUGACUCCCUGGUUCAUGUCCUUCAUUAAGGCGUCUUUCUCAGUCAAGUUCUGCAAGGGCCUUCUAGCAAAAAAGAAAUUGUCAAAUCUGGAAGAAGACCAGAGGGUAAAAUUAUGGAUUUAAACCUCCAUUUCUGUCUUUACUAACACGCCAGGUACAGAUCUUCACACUCCUGUGGUCCAUGCUCCAUACAGAUUCAGUUGCUCUGUGUUACAUGCCGGUAUAAAUUCACCAUGUCUCACUGGAGCCCAGGGCCUGUUUUUCCUGCACUGCAACAGUGUGAUUUCAUUGAUGUUAGUGCUGCUGC
rnacentral:lncRNA from 1 species